rnacentral:tRNA from 1 species
GCCACUUUAGCUCAGCUGGUAGAGCAACGCAUUCGUAAUGCGUAGGUCUGCGGUUCGAGUCCGCAAAGUGGCU